GAAAAGAAUUGAGAAUAAGAAUUUAAGUGAACAAAAAUAACUGACAUUGUACCCUUUGAUGUCCUCAGCACUUUCAAAGUGCUUCACAUAUAGCAACUGACUUCAUCCUCACAAUAACACGGUGACAGACUCUAUCUUCCCCACAAUCCAGAAGAGGCUGCAAGCACACCAGGACUUCUCUGAAUCUGCGCCAAAGAGAGAGAGGUAUUCAAGGCAGGAGUUUCCUUUCAGUCAACAGCAACCUCAGCUUGUUUUCCGACUCGGAACCCACAUCUUCAUCCCAGGCCUAGACUGGUUCCAAGCGUCUCCUCCUCCAACAAGACAGUCAGGACUAAGGCUACAUCUUUGAAGGCUGCAUUUUCAUGGUCACAAUACUUAUAGAAGAUCAAAGUGGAGCCUGCAGGCAGUGACUCAAAGCGAUGUACCACCGCUGCGUUCUGGCCAUUCGUGAACCCAUUGCUCAGUUCCCAGUCUACCUCUUCUUUGACAGUAUCACUGUCUUGAGUAGCUUUGUCCGCCCCAUCAAUCCGGAUGGCACGGACACUGUGGAAAGAAGAGUAGGCAUCAGCAAUUUGUUCACUCAGACACUUCAGUGCUUCUUCAGCAUCUCGAGCAGCAGUGAGCAGCAAGAUAGCAGGCUGAGGCCGAGGCUGGGAGCUAUUCAGAUGUCUUUCGAGGAAUGUAAGGCUCCUUUUCCACAGCUUCUCAUCUUGACCUUGGUACUUAUUCAUAAGUUGUUUCAUCUGGUUCUGGAACUCUUGAACAGGAGUGGUUUUUACCUCAGGAGUACGAACGAAGAGAAAACUCCCGAUGGCGAAAGAAGCUACCAGAACGAGUAGGCACCACCACUUCAUCUUGACAAAAGAUGCACUUUUGGGUUGUCCAGCUGCUUCUGCUCAGGAAAAAAAAAAAAAAAAAAGAAA